GGUGUUCGCGCAUUUGAAGCCACGGCCACAUGCAAAGAGGAAACCUCCCCGGCAGAGAGUUUCUCCGUGUGACGGAGACCUGCACGCUGUGGGCCCGGCCAUGGAGGACGGACACACCUCUGCGACAAUGGAAGGUGACGGAGACCUGCACGCUGUGGGCCCGGCCAUGGAGGACGGACACACCUCUGCGACAAUGGAAGGUGUGUUAGAUGAAUUUGGUCGUGUAAAUCAGCUCUGCG